rnacentral:antisense_RNA from 1 species
GAAAGCAUGACAUUGCUCACAUUGCUUCAAGUGUUUACUUGGCCAGCUCGGGUGCUGGCUUUUUUUU